rnacentral:rRNA from 1 species
CGCGCAUUGCACUCUUGGGAUUCCUGAGAGUAUG